GGAAUCUUCCACAAUGGACGGCAAGUCUGAUGGAGCAACGCCGCGUGAGUGAAGAAGGUCUUCGGAUCGUAAAACUCUGUUGUUAGAGAAGAACACGAGUGAGAGUAACUGUUCAUUCGAUGACGGUAUCUAACCAGCAAGUCACGGCUAACUACGUGCCAG
rnacentral:rRNA from 1 species